rnacentral:rRNA from 1 species
UUGUGAGGUUAAGCGACUAAGCGUACACGGUGGAUGCCCUGGCAGUCAGAGGCGAUGAAGGACGUGCUAAUCUGCGAUAAGCGUCGGUGAGGUGAUAUGAACCGUUAUAACCGGCGAUUUCCGAAUGGGGAAACCCAGUGUGUUUCGACACACUAUCAUUAACUGAAUCCAUAGGUUAAUGAGGCGAACCGGGGGAACUGAAACAUCUAAGUACCCCGAGGAAAAGAAAUCAACCGAGAUUCCCCCAGUAGCGGCGAGCGAACGGGGAGGAGCCCAGAGCCUGAAUCAGUGUGUGUGUUAGUGGAAGCGUCUGGAAAGGCGCGCGAUACAGGGUGACAGCCCCGUACACAAAAAUGCACAUAUUGUGAGCUCGAUGAGUAGGGCGGGACACGUGGUAUCCUGUCUGAAUAUGGGGGGACCAUCCUCCAAGGCUAAAUACUCCUGACUGACCGAUAGUGAACCAGUACCGUGAGGGAAAGGCGAAAAGAACCCCGGCGAGGGGAGUGAAAAAGAACCUGAAACCGUGUACGUACAAGCAGUGGGAGCCUCUUAAUGGGGUGACUGCGUACCUUUUGUAUAAUGGGUCAGCGACUUAUAUUCUGUAGCAAGGUUAACCGAAUAGGGGAGCCGAAGGGAAACCGAGUCUUAACUGGGCGUUAAGUUGCAGGGUAUAGACCCGAAACCCGGUGAUCUAGCCAUGGGCAGGUUGAAGGUUGGGUAACACUAACUGGAGGACCGAACCGACUAAUGUUGAAAAAUUAGCGGAUGACUUGUGGCUGGGGGUGAAAGGCCAAUCAAACCGGGAGAUAGCUGGUUCUCCCCGAAAGCUAUUUAGGUAGCGCCUCGUGAAUUCAUCUCCGGGGGUAGAGCACUGUUUCGGCAAGGGGGUCAUCCCGACUUACCAACCCGAUGCAAACUGCGAAUACCGGAGAAUGUUAUCACGGGAGACACACGGCGGGUGCUAACGUCCGUCGUGAAGAGGGAAACAACCCAGACCGCCAGCUAAGGUCCCAAAGUCAUGGUUAAGUGGGAAACGAUGUGGGAAGGCCCAGACAGCCAGGAUGUUGGCUUAGAAGCAGCCAUCAUUUAAAGAAAGCGUAAUAGCUCACUGGUCGAGUCGGCCUGCGCGGAAGAUGUAACGGGGCUAAACCAUGCACCGAAGCUGCGGCAGCGACGCUUAUGCGUUGUUGGGUAGGGGAGCGUUCUGUAAGCCUGUGAAGGUGGCCUGUGAGGGUUGCUGGAGGUAUCAGAAGUGCGAAUGCUGACAUAAGUAACGAUAAAGCGGGUGAAAAGCCCGCUCGCCGGAAGACCAAGGGUUCCUGUCCAACGUUA